rnacentral:rRNA from 1 species
GACGAACGCUGGCGGCGUGCUUAACACAUGAAAGUCGAACGAAGUGGCGAACGGGUGAGUAACGAGUAAUAAACCUGCCCUUCAGAGGGGGAAAACAGUUGGAAACGACUGAUAAUACCGCAUACUGAAGGAGGGGAUUGCGUAUGUUUAGCUAGGUGGGGGGGUAACGGCCCACCAAGGGGAUGAUAAGUAGCCGGUCUGAUGGGAUGAACGGCGACAUUGGUACUGAGACACGGCCCAGACGCCUACGUGAGGCAGCAGUGGGGAAUCUUCCGCAAUGGAAUAAAGUCUGACGGAGCAACUCCGCGUGAGUGAUGACGGCCUUCGGGUUGUAAAGCUCUGUUAAUCGGGACGCGGUACCUGAAUAGAAAGCCACGGCUAACUACGUGCCAGCCGCCGCGGUAAUAC